GCAGUCUCAAUGAGAGACUGAAACCCAAAUUGUAAACAAGAUUAUAACAAUAGGUACAAGCCUGGAUCAGCUCUGUGAAGCAGUGAGUAAAGCAAUAUGUACCCUUCACUUUCACUUUCAGAAAAUCACCUGGUUCAGACCAGUCCCAGAGUUCCCAGCUACAACAGAUAAAUACUAAUAUAGAAUUUCUGGAGCCAAAAAGACACUUGACUGUGCAAGUACCCACUUUAUUUACUUCACUUAUGAAUCAACCAAGAGCAGUAGUAAGCUAGCAUGAAGCUGAUCAAAUACUGGAACAGACACCCAGGGAGCUGAAUGAAAUCUCCAUCCUCAGAGAUAUUCAGGUCACAACUGCAGCCCCGAGCAACCUGACCUGACCAAGCCCACUCUGAGCAGGGGGUUGGACUAGAUGACUUCUGGAGGUCACUUCCUCUGGAGCAGAAAAAUUUUUAGAGAUUUUCUAAAUACAAAAAUGUAUAGACAGACAUAAGCACAUGAACAUAAAAAUUCUGUCACUGCUAAACACAUUCUUGUAUCAGCAUUUCAUUCUGCACGAGCAUGUUAUCUACUGAAUGUGGACACACACAUAUGACAGGCUACAUAAAAGAUGGAGGCAUCUGAGCCAUGAGAGGGAAUAAUAAAAAACAUAAGUGUGAGCUCCAAUAAAGUAGGAUUAUUUCUGAUACUGAAUGGCAUGUUGGCUUUACCUAUUUUCCUGUUAAAUUCUGACAUCUUGAGCUGCAGCAAUUUUAACUACAGAAGAACAGUACAACUAAUGAAAGCUAAUGAAAUUCAGUCUGCAUGAACUGUUCAGUGUGUAUUCACAGGACAAAUAACUUAGCUCUGACCAUCUAAGCAAGACAUAGAGGAUGUUUCUGAAAUUCUAAUUAGACUGAAUUGAGGAACAUUGCCUCAUGGAAGAAAA